CUCACAUUUUCAUUUACUCUCACUACAGUAGAAAUAGGAAAAGAAACGGUUGUAUCUCCCACGAUCCAGCAAUUUUAUCUCCCACAAACUAUUUCAUGCAAUUGAAUUCCCACCCUGAUUGAAACUAUCCACCAACGGUUUGUCUCCCGCAAAGUGAACGUUUCAUCUCCCACAAAUUGUUCCCUGGAACAUCUGAGUACCCUGCAACAUAAUUCGUUUUCUUUACAUCUGAGUACCCUGCAACAUUAAGAUUGCCGAGUUGUCUAUCUGAGGAAGAGACGAAGAGACUGAAGGUUUGGAGAAGAAAGAAAAGAAGAAUCAUCUGUUGUUUUUUAAACUGUCUUGCUCAAUGAACCGCCCAAAUCGAUUAGUAACGUAAAAGAUGAAGUCCAGGAAGACAGAUGUAUGCUGCUUCAGUGGCGUAAAAGAUGUCUAGGAAGACAGAAGUAUGUUGCUUAAUUUCUAUUCUUUCGAACGUAUCGGCAUGUUGCUUAAUUUUCAGGGAGCUUGGCCGAUUUGGAUCGCUCCUCUGACGAUACCUCUGUGGAUUCUCGGGGUUAUAUUUUAUGUUUGUAUUAGAGGAGACCAGCCAAGGCUCUAAGCUGGAAUUUACAGAGGACGAGGAAACGCUUAUUUACAAUCUGCUUGGAGACAGGUGGUCUCUAAUCGCUGGGAGAAUACCAGGAAGAACAGCGGUAGAGAUCGAGAAGUACUGGACUUCUAGGUACUCAACAAGUGAAUGAGAGAAUCUUUAUGGUGUUUUCUCUAUGAAAACAAGCAAUUUUGGGGCGUAUUGAUGCAGAGUAUGCUGCAAGACAGAGGUAUGUUGCUUAAUUUUCAGGGAACUUGGAUCUUUGGACCUGAUAACUGCCACCCAUCAAGUAUCGGCAAAGGUUGGAAUCAACAUGCAAUUGAAAAUUGAAGAUUCCAUCCUGAUCAAUUGCUAAAAUGUGAUCCUGUCGGACUCAAACUUCAUGGAACUAUUUCCUGAACAACCGCAUAACUAUGAUCCAUUUUUGGAGUCAAGUUCUGACAGUUGUUCCAUAAGAGAUGACGUUCUUAAAGAUAUACAAUUGAAAGUUGAGAAUAUUGUUACUGAUCAAUCUGAGAUUACAUUCCUAUUGAUGCUGUCCAAAGGCAGAGAAAGAGAAGUAUUGGCCAGCUUCGGAUACAGUGGCUGAGGAGUCUACUGCUAUUAUUGAUGAGAUUUCAGCAACCAAGGAAUGCAUCCCAUGUUUGGUUGGGGCUCCAACGUCCCUUGAGAUUUCUGCUACUGAUCAAACUCUCGCCAAUGUUCUACCAGGCUUAAGCCUUGGAGCACCUGGAUCAGAUUCCAGGCAUCAUUUACCACUUCAGAUUCAAAUGACAUCGAGAAAGUCAUCGAACAAGAAGCAAACACCAAUUCGAAAGGCAAUCAAGAUUUUGAAGGAUGACAAGAAGAACAUUGACAGAUAACAACACCACCAAGAAGCUGGAGUCGGGUAGUGGACUGAAAAAUGCCAAGUUAUUAACUAUCAUUGCAGAAGAGAAGGAGAACAAUGCCAAGUUAUUAACUGCAUAGAAGGGAUUCAGUAGCACAGGGUUAGGAAAGCUGAGGAAGACUCAUAAAGAGAAAUUGCAGAACAGCAAUGGGACAAGAGUGGCAAUAGCAACAGUUUCAAAAGACAAGAACAGCUCUGCAAACUCUAAUAGAGAACCGGUUGAUGUUGGGAGAUACAAAAAACUAAGUCAAGAUACUUGCUAUUGGCGUUGGUGUGGUUGUCAUGGCAGUGGGGUUAAAACUUUGCUUUGCCCCUUAUUUUUUUUUUGGUAGUAACAUUUUCAUGGGACCGUUAAGUGGUUAAGAGUUGGAUGUUUUUAUUUCCUUGCUCUUUUUUAGUGUUAUUAAUGUUUAGAAACAACGAAAGGGGAUAUUUCUGAAAUGAGAUAGAGAGAGAAGAUGCUUUUCUACAGGAUAGUAAAUUGAAUUGGAUGAUUUGAAUACAAUCUCAAAUCAGAAAAAUUCUAAGUAGUAAGCACUUUUCUUCUUUUUAUGGCUUGUAAAUCAAUCAA